AAUAAGUGGAGUUUUGUACUCUUCAUGUUUAUCGUUUGACCGUUAGUUUUAUUUGAAAUUUUUUUAUGAUUAGCAUUUUUAUUAUUAUUAAAUGAUAAAACAUGAAUAAUACUUUAUGUGUGACUAUUUUUUUAUAAUUUUUUGUUAAAUUUUUCAAAUAAGAUGGACGGUUAAACGUUGGACAUGGAUAUCCACGACUGCACUUAUU
rfam:Oryza sativa Japonica Group DNA, chromosome 9, cultivar: Nipponbare, complete sequence.